GUGCUUGCUUCCGCAGCACAUUUACUAAAAUUGGAACGAUACAGAGAAGAUUAGCAGGCCCCUGGGCAAGGAUAACACACAAAUUCAUGAAGCAUUCCAUGUUAAA